CCCUGAUGUUAGCGGCGGACGGGUGAGUAACACGUGGGUAACCUGCCUGUAAGACUGGGAUAACUCCGGGAAACCGGGGCUAAUACCGGAUGGUUGUUUGAACCGCAUGGUUCAAACAUAAAAGGUGGCUUCGGCUACCACUUACAGAUGGACCCGCGGCGCAUUAGCUAGUUGGUGAGGUAACGGCUCACCAAGGCAACGAUGCGUAGCCGACCUGAGAGGGUGAUCGGCCACACUGGGACUGAGACACGGCCCAGACUCCUACGGGAGGCAGCAGUAGGGAAUCUUCCGCAAUGGACGAAAGUCUGACGGAGCAACGCCGCGUGAGUGAUGAAGGUUUUCGGAUCGUAAAGCUCUGUUGUUAGGGAAGAACAAGUACCGUUCGAAUAGGGCGGUACCUUGACGGUACCUAACCAGAAAGCCACGGCUAACUACGUGCCAGCAGCCGCGGUAAUACGUAGGUGGCAAGCGUUGUCCGGAAUUAUUGGGCGUAAAGGGCUCGCAGGCGGUUUCUUAAGUCUGAUGUGAAAGCCCCCGGCUCAACCGGGGAGGGUCAUUGGAAACUGGGGAACUUGAGUGCAGAAGAGGAGAGUGGAAUUCCACGUGUAGCGGUGAAAUGCGUAGAGAUGUGGAGGAACACCAGUGGCGAAGGCGACUCUCUGGUCUGUAACUG
rnacentral:rRNA from 1 species